UGGUUUAGUUAUAUUUUUGAUUAUGUAGCGUACAUUUAUAAAAUAUAGUUUAUAACAGUGAAGCAAUGUCUACACUGAGUUUUAUGAGAGAAUAAAAUCGGAACAAACGAAAACUCGUCUGUUUCGCACAUAUUCUCUACUACUAGAAAGCCUUCUCACUCUACAGCCAUUGGCUGUCAUCGAAUAUCCCGCCAAUUCCGGGCGUAUCACUAUCCUCACAUUGCACGUUGUUCUUCUCCUAUGCACAGACUGGCACAGACCAAUUCUCUUAGUAAACUCAUUGUUAGUAUAAAUAUAAGUUGGCACAUACAAUUGGCAUUGUCUCUUUAUAAGUUUGAAAUUCUGGUUUGACAUCUUUACAGUAUAUAACUGGCAUAUGGGUUUUUUUUCUAUGCCCUCUGAGCCAUUACAACAUUGAUUGCAUCUUUACGGUAUUUUAAGGCUGUUCGUACAAUUUACAGUCAUAUGACGGACAACAAUAUAGCUGAGUACACGUCAAAAUGGCUUGCUCAAGCUACAUUAAGAAUUUCUAGAGAAAAGCAAAGUACUCUACAUAAAGAAAACGACGAAGAUCAGCAAUAGGUGGCUCAAAAUGACUUUUAUUUUAUUUAAACAAAGA